AUGUUUCACCAGACAACAUUGCCUACUAUGGAAGAGGCGAUUUCAGCAAUGGUCCAGGAGGAGGUUCGCCUGCGGGUGAUGGUGGGUAGCAGCAAUCCUGUUCGGUCAGUGUAUGUGGCUGACAAUAGAGAAUGCUACAAUUGUGGAAGGACAGGACAUCUGAGCUAUGAGUGUUAUGCUCCACCAUCUGGAGGACGCGGACGCGCGACCCGUGGUGGUGGCCGUGGAGGCCGGGGUGAGGGCCAUGGAGGACGAGGUGGUGAUCAUGGGGGUCGUGGUGGACGUGGCAGAGGUCGUGUCAGCACUAGAGCCUAUGCUGUUGCAGGGGAAACAUCACACAUCAUGCUUACGGGUGAGCAAGCAGCACAAUGGGAGAAAUGGCAGAAGAGCCAUACAUCAGAAAGUUCACAGGGAUCUGACACGAUACCUCAGGCGGAUCACUUUGGUAAUUAUGCCAACUAUGCCCAAGUGGGCAAAGGAGAAUAG
rnacentral:rRNA from 1 species